GCGUAUGCCUUAGUGCUGAAAGGUUGGUGUUUUCAUGUUUUUUGAAGAUAAUGUUGGUGUCAUUAUGAACCCCAAAGGAGAAAUGAAAGGCUCAGUAAUUAUCGGUCUAAUCAAAAACAUAUA